CAGUAGCCGCGGUAAUACGUAGGUGGCAAGCGUUGUCCGGAAUUAUUGGGCGUAAAGGGCUCGCAGGCGGUUUCUUAAGUCUGAUGUGAAAGCCCCCGGCUCAACCGGGGAGGGUCAUUGGAAACCGGGAAACUUGAGUGCAGAAGAGGAGAGUGGAAUUCCACGUGUAGCGGUGAAAUGCGUAGAGAUGUGGAGGAACACCAGUGGCGAAGGCGACUCUCUGGUCUGUAACUGACGCUGAGGAGCGAAAGCGUGGGGAGCGAACAGGAUUAGAUACCCCAGUAGUCCCUGUCUCUUAUAA
rnacentral:rRNA from 1 species